GCAAGCGGUGGAUGAUGUGGAUUAAUUCGAUGCAACGCGAAAAACCUUACCUACCCUUGACAUGUCUGGAAAGCCGAAGAGAUUUGGCCGUGCUCGCAAGAGAACCGGAACACAGGUGCUGCAUGGCUGUCGUCAGCUCGUGUCGUGAGAUGUUGGGUUAAGUCCCGCAACGAGCGCAACCCUUGUCAUUAGUUGCUACGCAAGAGCACUCUAAUGAGACUGCCGGUGACAAACCGGAGGAAGGUGGGGAUGACGUCAAGUCCUCAUGGCCCUUAUGGGUAGGGCUUCACACGUCAUACAAUGGUCGGGACAGAGGGUCGCCAACCCGCGAGGGGGAGCCAAUCUCAGAAACCCGAUCGUAGUCCGGAUCGCAGUCUGCAACUCGACUGCGUGAAGUCGGAAUCGCUAGUAAUCGCGGAUCAGAAUGUCGCGGUGAAUACGUUCCCGGGUCUUGUACACACCGCCCGUCACACCAUGGGAGUGGGUUUCACCAGAAGUAGGUAGCCUAACCGUAAGGAGGGCGCUUACCACGGUGGGAUUCAUGACUGGGGUGAAGUCGUAACAAGGGUAGCCGUAAGAG
rnacentral:rRNA from 1 species